ensembl:lncRNA
AUGCUUUUCUCCACGAUUUCACUUCAAGACGUGGUCACACAGAAUGCCAGUAACGACACGAAAACAAGACAUGACUUAAAUACUUCACAUGCAGAACUUACAUUCUACUGUAAAAGCACGGCAAGGCAAAAACUCAAGUCGGACACACACCUCCCACCCCACCCCCUCCAAGACCCAUUUCUCAAGCAUCAACGCUACCAGAGUGCAAGAGUGACACCGACUGAAACAGUCAGCAACAGGAAGGGAAACACUCCAGAAGAGAUGGACACUGUACGUACCUUCCCACACUGCAACAGNNNNNNNNNNNNNNNNNNNNNNNNNNNNNNNNNNNNNNNNNNNNNNNNNNNNNNNNNNNNNNNNNNNNNNNNNNNNNNNNNNNNNNNNNNNNNNNNNNNNGGGGCGGGGAGGCGCGCUGCAGGGGGGCGCCGAGGAGCGGGUGAAGCCGUCGAGGAGCCAUGUUGGGUGUGGGAACGCUGCCGGGCGGGGGCGGCGCGUUUACACCGCGGCUGGACGGAGCUUCUAACAUUCUACACUCUUCUAAUUCGGUCACUGGUAAAUGCUUCAUUUACGUGUACUGCGCACGUGCAGAACUCGGGGAACGUCGCGGUGCUGACAGACGCUGCUUCAGCUCGGUCGGUGGCUUUUCCCUGCAGGACAAACAAGGCACAUGCUCAGAUGGCCCUCAGCUGUUGAGCCAGAGCGCACCAUCCCAAUGGCUUUGCUGGGAAGGAAGCCUGGUAAGAGCAGUGCUGCUGGUCUGAGUCCCAGCUGGCUUUUACCCCUGGGCAAUGCCCUGCAGGGGGGCUGGUGAGGGUGGGGGUUGGGCAGGGAUUGCUGCAUUCCCUCACACCUCUCCUGCCUAUUGUUUCCUUUGUCCCAGCAGGCUCCAGUUUAACAUCUGCCUGCAGCAGAGCAGCAACUGGCCACAGCACGUCCAUCUCAGGCAGGGGCUUGGGGACGCAGCCAGAAGAGGGCAAGGAGCGAGAGAUGGGAGUGCAGGGUGAGAGUGAGGUGUCCUCAGCCAGCGUUUGUGUGCUGGGAACAGAGAAGAAGCCGCUGGGAUGGGAGUUUCUCUCCUCUCCAAGCUGCUUCCCUGGGCCUUGGCCAUGCACAGCAAGGAGCACUUGCAGGAGCCCGUGGCCUUUGCAGAGGUGGCCAUGUAUUUCAGCAGGGCGCUGCUGGACCCUGCGCAGCGAGCGCUGUACCGGGCUGUGAUGCUGGAGACAUAGCAGUGCGUGGCCUCGCUGGGUGAGGGCUUUACUGCUGCUCCUUCUUGUUAGGGCAGCCCUGACUGUGCAGAAUGAGCCUCUGCAAGCAGGGCAUAGAAUAAAUGCAGUGCAGUUACUUAUUGGCAAGGCAACAGCAACAGAAGAAACACAGAGAAGCGUGAGUUGCAGAAUUAGCGUGCUCAGUCCCCUGAGAAAAGCCCCAGAGUCACUGCUGCCACACAGGUGUCAGCCGGAGGGGUUGGAUCAGCUCCCUGCAAACAGCCCUUGUGCUGCUGCUCUGCAUGGUGCCACCAGCUCCAGCACCCAGACGUCACACAGAUCACUCCUUUAGAAUUCUGUACUGUUCUGUUCCUUUCCCAUGAACCUUGUUGAAGUGUUGGUAAACAAAGCAUCCUAAAGGGAACGUUGAAGAAAAUGUCCCUGCAUCAUUUUCAGAGACGUAAAAGGCGUGCUGGGCUCCAAAGGAAGUCGGUAUGUGUUGGGCCAGUGUCAUUCAGAAUUGAUACGCUGACAUGCACCGGAGUGGGCUCAUGCUUGACAUCUUGUAAACAGGGUUGAAAAGAAACUUCAAAAUAAACACGCAGCCUUUGUAGGCCCUCCCCUCCAAAAUCCACGCAUUUUGCACGGCCAGAGGUGCCUUCCCAGUCUUCUGUCUGUUGGCAGUUUUACUUUAUCUGUUUUUUCUUCAGAUCACAGCAGAGUGAGUCUGCCUGCGUCAGCAGAAGAGCUGCCUUCGUGGAGGUGCAGUGAAGGUUUCUGACUGACCUGUCCUCACUUUGUAGGAGUUUUGUUUGCUUGCUUAAAUACAGUAAGAUGCUCUCACUGAUGAGUAUGUCCUUUGCCAUAAACAUGCCUGUGGCAAAAUGGUUAUUUUGACAUCAUCCUGCAGUGGCUAGGAUAACCGAGUCUUAGAAAAAUACAGCACCUCCCCCAGAGCUGUGAUGGCCGUGCUGCUGCUUGCUGAUCCUCCCUCUUAUCUGUGCUUUCCUUUACAGGACGCAGUUCUUUAUUAUGGCCCAAGGCCCCGUGGGCUUCUUCUCCUCCCACAAAGCUGCUCAGCCAGGAGGAGGCACAGGCACGGACACGAGGCCACAGCAGCUCCCGUUGUGUCAGACAGCAGAGACGUUGGAGUGGAAGAAGGCCCCACAGCUUUACAGGGGAAAUUGGACACAGUCAGUGACUUUCCAUCCAAAAGAUGAAGAGGAGUUUCUUUUGCAGCACCUAUCAUAAUUGUUUGGGUGUUUUGUUUUUUUCUCCAUUAUUACUGAUGCAAAACUUGCUGAAAC